ensembl:lncRNA
CAUGGAUGAGUAACUGAAGGCAUCACAUAUGUAUCUGAACAUCUAUGUGCUGAAAUAAUCAGAAUCAGAAUUAACAGAAACAAAGAAAAGACAGGGAUAGAUAUGAGGAUGCUCAGGUGUUUGACUGUAGAAAACCUCCAACUGAAACUAUUAUUAAUAAUUCUGCAUCUGUUGGCCUUCAUUCUGUUCCGGGUUCUGAGGAUUUGGAUAGCUACGAAGAGCGUCUCUUGGAGGAGGGCAUUUGAGAGAAUACUGUGAUGGAGAGGGUAAACCAGAGACCGAGUGAAACAGAGAAUCUAGUUUCAAUCAAUGCAGUAAAAUAUAUUUCAAGAAAUAACCUUCUGGAAAAUCAACUCAGUAAUUAAGGUG